UGGGGAAUUUUUCGCAAUGGGCGCAAGCCUGACGAAGCAACGCCGCGUGGAGGAUGAAGGUCUUCGGAUUGUAAACUCCUGUCGACCGGGACGAAUGCACUCGACCUAAUACGUCGGAAUGUUGACGGUACCGGUGGAGGAAGCCACGGCUAACUCUGUGCCAGCAGCCGCGGUAAUACAGAGGUGGCAAGCGUUGUUCGGAAUUACUGGGCGUAAAGGGCGCGUAGGCGGCCCCAUAAGUCUCGUGUGAAAGCCCUCGGCUUAACUGAGGAUCUGCACGGGAUACUGUGGGGCUCGAGUUCGGGAGAGGAAAGCGGAAUUCCGGGUGUAGCGGUGAAAUGCGUAGAUAUCCGGAGGAACACCAGUGGCGAAGGCGGCUUUCUGGACCGACACUGACGCUGAGGCGCGAAAGCUAGGGGAGCAAACGGGAUUAGAUACCCCAGUAGUCCCUGAGCGGGCUGGCAAGGCGCAU
rnacentral:rRNA from 1 species